rnacentral:rRNA from 1 species
UUUAUGUCGGCGACCGGCGCACGGGUGAGUAACGCGUAUCCAACCUACCCAUAACUAAGGGAUAACCAGCGAAAGUUGGACUAAUACCUUAUGUAUUCGUUUGACCUCAUGAGAUUACGAAUAAAGAUUUAUCGGUUAUGGAUGGGGAUGCGUCUGAUUAGCUUGUUGGCGGGGUAACGGCCCACCAAGGCAACGAUCAGUAGGGGUUCUGAGAGGAAGGUCCCCCACAUUGGAACUGAGACACGGUCCAAACUCCUACGGGAGGCAGCAGCA